rnacentral:rRNA from 1 species
UGUCGUCAGCUCGUGUCGUGAGAUGUUGGGUUAAGUCCCGCAACGAGCGCAACCCUUAUUGUUAGUUGCUACCAUUUAGUUGAGCACUCUAGCGAGACUGCCCGGGUUAACCGGGAGGAAGGUGGGGAUGACGUCAAAUCAUCAUGCCCCUUAUGUCUAGGGCUACACACGUGCUACAAUGGUCGGUACAAUGAGAUGCAACCUCGCGAGAGUGAGCAAAACUAUAAAACCGAUCUCAGUUCGGAUUGUAGGCUGAAACUCGCCUGCAUGAAGCCGGAGUUGCUAGUAAUCGCGAAUCAGAAUGUCGCGGUGAAUACGUUCCCGGG